rnacentral:rRNA from 1 species
UACGUAGGGCGCAAGCGUUGUCCGGAAUUAUUGGGCGUAAAGAGCUCGUAGGCGGCUUGUCACGUCGAUUGUGAAAGCCCGAGGCUUAACCUCGGGUCUGCAGUCGAUACGGGGCUAGCUAGAGUGUGGUAGGGGAGAUCGGAAUUCCUGGUGUAGCGGUGAAAUGCGCAGAUAUCAGGAGGAACACCGGUGGCGAAGGCGGAUCUCUGGGCCAUUACUGACGCUGAGGAGCGAAAGCGUGGGGAGCGAACAG